CCGACGGGUGAGUAACACGUAUCCAACCUGCCGUCUACUCUUGGCCAGCCUUCUGAAGGAAGAUUAAUCCAGGAUGGCAUCAUGAGUUCACAUGUCCGCAUGAUUAAAGGUAUUUUCCGGUAGACGAUGGGGAUGCGUUCCAUUAGAUAGUAGGCGGGGUAACGGCCCACCUAGUCAACGAUGGAUAGGGGUUCUGAGAGGAAGGUCCCCCACAUUGGAACUGAGACACGGUCCAA
rnacentral:rRNA from 1 species